AGAGAGAGACAUGCGCGCAUAUCAAUAAGCGGAGGAAAAGAAACUAACAAGGAUUCCCUUAGUAACGGCGAGUGAAGCGGGAAGAGCUCAAAUUUGAAAUCUUCAAGGUUUUACCUUGACGAAUUGUAGUUUAAAGAAGUGUUUUCUGCUGAAGUUUUGGUAAAAGUUCUUUGGAAUAGGACAUCAUAGAGGGUGAGAAUCCCGUAUUUGACCAUUAUUUUCAGCUUUGUGAUACACUUUCAAAGAGUCGGAUUGUUUGGGAAUGCAGUCCAAAAUGGGUGGUGAAUUUCAUCUAAAGCUAAAUAUUGGCGAGAGACCGAUAGCGAACAAGUACCGUGAGGGAAAGAUGAAAAGAACUUUGAAAAGAGAGUUAAACAGUACGUGAAAUUGUCAAAAGGGCAGCGUUUGACACCAGUGUUGUUUUCUCGAAAAUCAAUUAAAAAUGGCUCGAUUUUGUAUUGCUGAGACCUUAAAAGCUCACUGUACAUUUUUCGUGUCUUUUUUAAUGCACUUUUCGUUUAACAAGUCAACAUCAGUUUCUUUUGUUGUAAAAGGGUCAUUGGAAGGUGGCUUUCUUUUCGGAGAAAGUGUUUAUAGCCUUUGGCCUCUGCAAUCGGAGAGACUGAGGUCUGCAGCGUAGACUCUUCGGGGUUAGAUACAUUUGUGCUAAGUUAUAGCUUUUUAUAGACAACUUGUUGACUAUAAUUAGUCUUGUAGCUUACUCGCUUAUGCUAUUUUACCUACGCUUAGGAUGUUGAAGUCAUCGUAUCGCGC
rnacentral:rRNA from 1 species